AUGCUUACUUUGGCAACACAUACACUAAAAUUUGAAUGAUACAGAGAAGAUUAGCAUGAUCCCUGCACAAGGAUGACAUGCAAAUUUGUGAAGCAUUCCCUAUUUAA
ensembl:snRNA U6 U6 spliceosomal RNA